rnacentral:rRNA from 1 species
AACGAACGCUGGCGGCAGGCUUAACACAUGCAAGUCGAACGCAUCCUUCGGGGUGAGUGGCAGACGGGUGAGUAACGCGUGGGAACGUGCCCUUCAGUUUGGAAUAACCCAGGGAAACUUGGGCUCAUACCGGAUACGCCCGCAAGGGGAAAGAUUUAUCGCUGAAGGAUCGGCCCGCGUCUGAUUAGCUGGUUGGUGAGGUAAUGGCUCACCAAGGCGACGAUCAGUAGCUGGUCUGAGAGGAUGAUCAGCCACAUUGGGACUGAGACACGGCCCAAACGCCUACGGGAGGCAGCAGUGGGGAAUAUUGGACAAUGGGCGCAAGCCUGAUCCAGCCAUGCCGCGUGAGUGAUGACGGCCUUAGGGUUGUAAAGCUCUUUCGCACGCGACGAUAAUGACGGUAGCGUGAGAAGAAGCCCCGGCUAACUUCGUGCCAGCAGCCGCAGUAAUAC